UGUGCCCGCCCUCUGCGCUGUGUGCAGCGACGUGCAGCAAGGGAGCACCGAUCAGCUCUGCAUCGGCAUCCAGCCGGCGCUCAUGCUCAAGGGGGACAUCCUGGUGAAGUGCUACCACAAGCGGUUUGGCAGUGCGGGGCGGGACGAGGUCUUCCGAGUCCAGUUCCACACAGGGGCCGUGCAGGGCCUGCCGCUCUGCUUCGCAAAACACGAACUGGAUCACGCAAACACCGAUGAGAGGUUCCCACAGCAAGGAAAGGUGGAGUUCAAGCUGUCCACGAGGCCAGAGUCGUCCAAAG